UCCCCCCUACUCAUUAUCUUUAUGGCCCCCACCCGCCGCACAGGGGUGGGGGCCUGGGGGGGAGGACAGUAGGUGUCCCCCCCUCAUUAUCUUUAUGGCCCCCACCCGCCACCCAGGGGUGGGGGCCGGAGAGAGGGAGGACAGU